rnacentral:rRNA from 1 species
AUUGAACGCUUGCGGCAGGCCUAACACAUGCAAGUCGAACGAGUGGCGGACGGGUUAGUAAUGUCUGGGAAACUGCCUGAUGGAGGGGGAUAACUACUGGAAACGGUAGCUAAUAACGCAUACCAUCGGAUGUGCCCAGAUGGGAUUAGCUAGUAGGUGGGGUAAAGGCUCCCCUAGGCGACGAUCCCUAGCUGGUCUGAGAGGAUGACCAGCAACACUGGAACUGAGACACGGUACAGACUCCUACGGGAGGCAGCAGUGGGGAAUAUUGCACAAUGGGAGCAAGCCUGAUACAGCCAUGCGGCGUGUAUGAAGAAGGCCUUAGGUUUGUAAAGUACUUUCAGCGGGGAGGCGUUACCCGCAGAAGAAGCACCGGCUAACUCCGUGCCAGCAGCCGCGGUAAUAC